CUGAAGCCACAUCCAGAUGGUUGACAUAGAUACCAAAGCAUAAUACUGUUGGAUCACUCGUUGCUGGAAAACAGUUAGUAACAGUUAGUAACCCAGCCUUGGCUGUGACAGACGCUGGAUAUUUAAAGCAGAUCAGGAGCAAAGUAAUGAGAAAACAAAGUAGUAAACGAGAGGGAGAGUAUGCGGCUGACUAAUCAAGUGAGUGAAUGAGCUGAUCACUGGAAGCUCUGAGCUCUCCUCUCUGUAAUCAUCACACCGACUGCCUCAUGCCUGCUCGGGAAGGACGAGCGAGGAGAGAAAGAGUCACGGCCUGGGGGAAGAAACUGUCUCUGUGCUCUGCUGAAGUCCGCUGUCAUCCCCGCACUCUUCAGCUGGUUCAGCUCCAGAUGGUCCUGACCACACCAGAGGACCAGCUGGUCCACCUCCCGUCUGUAUGCAGACUCCUGCACACCAUCCCGGGUGAGACUGAUGAGUGUCGUGUCACGUGUAACAUGUUGCUUGGCCUGUUGAAAUGUUUUUGACUGAAAUAUCUGUUACUUUCAGUAAACAUGACCUGUUUUGUGCGCAUGUGCAUUACUUCCCGGACGCAUGACCUUCACAUUUGCAAGUUGCGUUUUUUUUUGGUAAUGUGAACGACUACAUAAAAGAUCAGAUUUUAACAA